CAGUCGCCGCGGGAAUACAGAGGGUGCGAGCGUUAAUCGGAUUUACUGGGCGUAAAGCGUGCGUAGGCGGCUUCUUAAGUCGGAUGUGAAAUCCCUGAGCUUAACUUAGGAAUUGCAUUCGAUACUGGGAAGCUAGAGUAUGGGAGAGGAUGGUAGAAUUCCAGGUGUAGCGGUGAAAUGCGUAGAGAUCUGGAGGAAUACCGAUGGCGAAGGCAGCCAUCUGGCCUAAUACUGACGCUGAGGUACGAAAGCAUGGGGAGCAAACAGGAUUAGAGACCCCAGUAGUCCCUGUCUCUUAUAU
rnacentral:rRNA from 1 species